UGGGGAAUAUUGCACAAUGGGCGCAAGCCUGAUGCAGCCAUGCCGCGUGUGUGAAGAAGGCCUUCGGGUUGUAAAGCACUUUCAGCGAGGAGGAAGGUGGUGAGCUUAAUACGCUCAUCAAUUGACGUUACUCGCAGAAGAAGCACCGGCUAACUCCGUGCCAGCAGCCGCGGUAAUACGGAGGGUGCAAGCGUUAAUCGGAAUUACUGGGCGUAAAGCGCACGCAGGCGGUUUGUUAAGUCAGAUGUGAAAUCCCCGGGCUCAACCUGGGAACUGCAUUUGAAACUGGCAAGCUAGAGUCUCGUAGAGGGGGGUAGAAUUCCAGGUGUAGCGGUGAAAUGCGUAGAGAUCUGGAGGAAUACCGGUGGCGAAGGCGGCCCCCUGGACGAAGACUGACGCUCAGGUGCGAAAGCGUGGGGAGCAAAACAGGAUUAGAUACCCUGGUAGUCCACGCUGUAAACGAUGUCGAUUUUGGAGGUUGUGCCCUUGAGGCGUGGCUUCCGGAGCUAACGCGUUAAAUCGACCGCCUAGGGAGUACGGCCGCAAGGUUAAAACUCAAAUGAAUUGACGGGGUCAUAGCUG
rnacentral:rRNA from 1 species